CGACAGCCGAAACGUAGCUUCUUCUUAUCGCCCACGAGAGGGGACGUUGAGUAUGCUUGGAAUUGCCCCGUUGGGGGGGAUAACAGUCGAAACGCUACUAUACCAAUACGCCUUACGGGGGAAAGCAGGGGACUUCGGGCCUUGAGAGAUUGGAUAUGCCCAGGUGGGAUUAGCUAGUUGGUGAGGUAAUGGCUCACCAAGGCGAUGAUCCCUAGCUGGUCUGAGAGGAUGAUCAGCCACACUGAAACUGAGACACGGUCCAGACUCCUACGGGAGGCAGCAGUGGGGAAUAUUGCACAAUGGGGGAAACCCUGAUGCAGCCAUGCCGCGUGUGUGAAGAAGGCCUUCGGGUUGUAAAGCACUUUCAGCGAGGAGGAAAGGUUGAUGCCUAAUACGUAUCAACUGUGACGUUACUCGCAGAAGAAGCACCGGCUAACUCCGUGCCAGCAGCCGCGGUAAUACGGAGGGUGCAAGCGUUAAUCGGAAUUACUGGGCGUAAAGCGCACGCAGGCGGUUGGAUAAGUUAGAUGUGAAAGCCCCGGGCUCAACCUGGGAAUUGCAUUUAAAACUGUCCAGCUAGAGUCUUGUAGAGGGGGGUAGAAUUCCAGGUGUAGCGGUGAAAUGCGUAGAGAUCUGGAGGAAUACCGGUGGCGAAGGGGGCCCCCUGGACAAAGACUGACGGUCAGGUGCGAAAGCGUUGGGAUCAAACAGC
rnacentral:rRNA from 1 species